AGAGUUUGAUCAUGGCUCAGGACGAACGCUGGCGGCGCGCUUAACACAUGCAAGUCGAACGAGAACCAGGGCUUCGGCCCUGGGGACAGUGGCGGACGGGUGAGUAACACGUGGGUAAUCUGCCCUUGACAUCGGGAUAGCCCGGGGAAACCCGGAUUAAUACCGGAUAGCCUCCGAAGCCUUCGGGCGUCGGAGAAAAGGUAGCUUCGGCCUCUGGUCAAGGAUGAGCCCGCGGCGGAUUAGCUUGUUGGCGGGGUAACGGCCCACCAAGGCGACGAUCCGUAGCUGGUCUGAGAGGACGAUCAGCCACACUGGGACUGAGACACGGCCCAGACUCCUACGGGAGGCAGCAGUGGGGAAUCUUGCGCUAAUGCGGGAAACCGUGACGCAGCGACGCCGCGUGGGGGAAGAAGGCCUUCGGGUUGUAAACCUCUUUCAGGAGGGACGAAGCUACUCGGGUUAAUAGCCCAGAGGGUGACGGUACCUCCAGAAGAAGCCCCGGCUAACUACGUGCCAGCAGCCGCGGUAAUACGUAGGGGGCAAGCGUUGUCCGGAUUUAUUGGGCGUAAAGAGCGUGUAGGCGGCCAGACAGGUCUGCUGUGAAAACUCGAGGCUCAACCUCGAGAUGUCGGCGGAAACCGUUUGGCUAGAGUCCGGAAGAGGAGAGUGGAAUUCCUGGUGUAGCGGUGAAAUGCGCAGAUAUCAGGAAGAACACCUAUGGCGAAGGCAGCUCUCUGGGACGGUACUGACGCUGAGACGCGAAAGCGUGGGGAGCGAACAGGAUUAGAUACCCUAGUAGUCC
rnacentral:rRNA from 1 species